rnacentral:rRNA from 1 species
UACGUAGGGUGCAAGCGUUGUCCGGAAUUAUUGGGCGUAAAGAGCUUGUAGGCGGUUUGUCGCGUCUGCUGUGAAAUUUCGGGGCUCAACCCCGAACUUGCAGUGGGUACGGGCAGACUAGAGUGCGGUAGGGGAGACUGGAAUUCCUGGUGUAGCGGUGAAAUGCGCAGAUAUCAGGAGGAACACCGGUGGCGAAGGCGGGUCUCUGGACAGUUCCUGACGCUGAGGCACGAAGGUCAGGGGAGCAAACGGG